rnacentral:rRNA from 1 species
AACUGCGAGUGAAGCGGCAACAGCCCAGAUUUGAAAUCUGAUUCUCUUACCGGGAUCCGAGUUGUAAUCUGUAGAGGAUGUCGCUGGUUGGCAGCAGCUUCGAAGUCCCCUGGAAUGGGGUGCCGUAGAGGGUGAGAGCCCCGUGCGAAGCGACUGUACAGUCAUGAUGCGGCUCCUUCGGCGAGUCGAGUAGUUUGGGAAUGCUGCUCUAAACGGGAGGUAAAUUCCUUCUAAGGCUAAAUAUCGGCCGGAGACCGAUAGCGCACAAGUAGAGUGAUCGAAAGAUGAAAAGCACUUUGAAAAGAGGGUUAAACAGCACGUGAAAUUGUUGAAAGGGAAGCGCCCGCGACCAGACUUGUAUUCCAGUUGAUCGCUGUACGUUAGUCGUAUAGCCUCUCAGCUGUUGUUGCAGGCCAGCAUCGGUUUCUGCUGAGGGAUAAGAACAUCAGGGAACGUGGCUCCUCAAUUUGGGGAGUGUUAUAGCCCGGUGUACAGUACCUUGGCGCAGAUCGAGGACCGCGCUUCGGCACGGAUGCUGGCGUAAUGGUCGCUGACGACCCGUCUUGAAACACGGACCAAGGAGUCGAGGUUCUCCGCGAGUGUGCGGGUGGAAAACCCGCCCGCGAAAUGAAAGUGAACGUAGGUGAGAGCUGUGAGAGUAUCGCAGCGCAUCACCGACCGAUCCCGAUGUUCUCGGAGGGAAUCGAGUAUGAGCGGGGAGCCUCGGACCCGAAAGAUGACGAACUAUGCCUGCAUAGAAUGAAGCCAGAGGAAACUCUGGUGGAGGUUCGCAGCGGUUCUGACGUGCAAAUCGAUCGUCAAAUGGGGCAUGGGG